rnacentral:rRNA from 1 species
AUACGGAGGGUGCAAGCGUUAUUCGGAAUCACUGGGCGUAAAGGGUGCGUAGGCGGUUUGAUAAGUCUGAUGUGAAAUCCUAUGGCUCAACCAUAGAACUGCAUUGGAAACUGUCAGACUAGAAUACUGAAGGGGCAGAUGGUAUUAGUGGUGUAGGGGUAAAAUCCGUAGAUAUCACUAGGAAUACCGAAGGCGAAAGCGAUCUGCUGGGAAGUUAUUGACGCUGAGGCACGAAAGCGUGGGGAGCAAACGGGAUUAGAUACCCCAGUAGUCC